rnacentral:rRNA from 1 species
GAUGAACGCUGGCGGCGUGCUUAACACAUGCAAGUCGAACGAUGAAGCUCAGCUUGCUGGGUGGAUUAGUGGCGAACGGGUGAGUAACACGUGAGUAACCUGCCCUUAACUCUGGGAUAAGCCUGGGAAACUAGGUCUAAUACCGGAUAGGAGCGGCUACCGCAUGGUGGGUGUUGGAAAGAUUUAUCGGUUUUGGAUGGACUCGCGGCCUAUCAGCUUGUUGGUGAGGUAAUGGCUCACCAAGGCGACGACGGGUAGCCGGCCUGAGAGGGUGACCGGCCACACUGGGACUGAGACACGGCCCAGACUCCUACGGGAGGCAGCAGUGGGGAAUAUUGCACAAUGGGCGAAAGCCUGAUGCAGCGACGCCGCGUGAGGGAUGACGGCCUUCGGGUUGUAAACCUCUUUCAGUAGGGAAGAAGCGAAAGUGACGGUACCUGCAGAAGAAGCACCGGCUAACUACGUG